rnacentral:rRNA from 1 species
UACGGGGGGGGCAAGCGUUGUUCGGAAUUACUGGGCGUAAAGGGCUCGUAGGCGGCCAACUAAGUCAGACGUGAAAUCCCUCGGCUUAACCGGGGAACUGCGUCUGAUACUGGAUGGCUUGAGGUUGGGAGAGGGAUGCGGAAUUCCAAGUGUAGCGGUGAAAUGCGUAGAUAUCCGGAGGAACACCAGCGGCGAAGGCGGCAUCCUGGACUGGUCCUGACACUCAUGAGCGAAAGCGUGGGGAGCGAUCCGG